AAUGUAAAUAUGCGUAUGGAAGAAUACAAAAUCAAUUGCAAGAAUUUCUGUUUCUUUUAUGGCAAUAUCUAAUGCUUCCUUUCUCUCUUUAGGAACUUUCCUCCUAUCCCUAAAUAUAUAUGAGAUCACUUCUUAAAGAAAGAAUCAUAGUAACUUGGUCUGGGUACAGAAAGAGAAGAAUUUUAAUGCAUCUUGAAAAUCAGUGGAUGUAUCUGAAGAAAAUGCCAAUGGAGAAACAAGCUACAUUAAUUCUGAUGAUGUUGAUUAUUCCAGAACUUGACAAGUGACUUCAAAACUCCCUAAUGCACAAUCUGAAGGUAAUGAAAAAAGCAAAUCAGUUUAAAAUGAUUUUUUGCCAUUACAAAAUACUUAGUUUUCACAUUUUACCACAGUAAAAAUAUAU
rnacentral:lncRNA from 1 species